AUCACAUGGUGGGGAUAUUUGCUUAACAGCUCUUUAUAUCUUUGCCAAGCAUCGAACAAAGACUCAUCAUCUCCUUGUCUAAAUGAUGUAAUUUCAUUUCUCAUCUU